CAUAUUCCUCUAAUUUACCAGGUUACACACGCAUAUGAAAUUGUGGUAGACCUGUGUAUUUGAACUUGUUAUCCAAAUCCCUGAAUCAUAAGGCUUAAUCUAACUUUCACCUGUGUACCCCACCGGUGUGUGGUUUUUUCAAGUAUCCAGAAUACGUAAUUGCCAUUUCAUUGAUGCACUAACCGUAUUUAUCAAGCACUAGAGACAUACCCCUGAUAAAGUCUUAGAGUAAGACGAAACGCAUCGGGUUAUUUGUUCAUAAACAUCAAAUCUCCGAAUUGUCAAAGGAGAAAUCUAUCAAAGUUAUUUCAACUGGUCCUCUGUACUAUAUGGUGUUAUCUGCAAGAAGAGAUACUAUACCGUUUUGUACCAUUGCUUUUAUGUUGUAAUAAAUUUUACAUGGAACAUGUUAAA